rnacentral:misc_RNA from 1 species
CUUGUUCUACAUUCCAAGACCUUACUAUGCAGUUUUAUUAUUUAUCAUGGUGUGUGAUGGCACUGUUGUCAUUGCAACAAGUAAGAUAAUCUCAAUGUAAUUCUUAUCAAGACUUGCAGUUAAGUGUUUGUCAAAAUUCUUUGGUUUUUCCUUCUUAAAUAUAACAUGCUCGUGAUUAGAUAUUGCCAGCUUUGGCAUGCGCAGCUUGUAUCCCAAGCUUGAGGAGUUUUUAACAUCCAACAUGAAAAGAAGAUUCUAGACAAUUUUUUUUUUUGGGUGCUAAUGGAGAGUCUAAUUGGUGACUAGGGGUGUAGACAAGUCAAGCCGUUUGCAAGCUACUGGAAAUUCGGCUCGAUAAAAGCUUGGUUCGAUUCGGGUCGUUUUCUAAAUGAGCCGAGCCCGUUGGCCCGAGCUCAAAUUUUAGGCUCAUUUAAUAAACGAAAUGAGCUCGAGCUCAACAAUAUUUGGCUUGAGCUCGAGCUUAGCUCGUUGACAAGCUUGUGAGUUAACUCGUUGAACAAGCUCGUAAGUCAGCUCGUUGACAAGCUUGUGAGUUAACUCGUUGAACAAGCUCGUAAGUC